AAAAAACAUUAAGAUGGACCAGGAUAAAAGUUCUCAGAUGUGUUGGGUAUGUCAAGCUGGAAAGGAAUCUACUCAAGCAGGCAUGAGAGCCAGCAUGGUGUAGUAGUUCGAGUGUUGGACAAGGACCAGGGAGACCUGAGUUCCAAUCUCCAUUCAGCCAUCAAACUCACUGGGUGACUCUGGGCCAGUCAUAUCUCUCAUCCUAACCUACCUCGCAGGGUUGAUGUGAAGAAGGCCUGAGCUCCUCCUUCUGGUAACAGCUGGUCCUUGAAGCCUUUUGGUUCUGUUCCUCUUUAUUCUACCAGCACAUUUCCGUUCUUAAGAAAAUGACACAAAGGUCGCUUCAACACAAGCUAUUCAGCAGAGAAUUGCCACACUUUGUUCACUCAUGUUUUAAGAAGAAUUUAUUUAUUUUAUUUAUUUUUAUUUAUUGUUAAAUUUAUA